UCCAGUAGCUCUGGUGGCAGAGCAUGAGACUCUUAAUCUCAGCAGUAUGGGUUCAAGGCCCAAGUUGGGCAAAA